CAACGGAGAAUCUAGAA
rnacentral:sRNA from 1 species